rnacentral:miRNA from 1 species
UGAGAUUCAACUCCUCCAUUUUAU